rnacentral:rRNA from 1 species
CGGAUCGUAAAACUCUGUUGUUAGAGAAGAACAAGGAUGAGAGUAACUGUUCAUCCCUUGACGGUAUCUAACCAGAAAGCCACGGCUAACUACGUGCCAGCAGCCGCGGUAAUACGUAGGUGGCAAGCGUUGUCCGGAUUUAUUGGGCGUAAAGCGAGCGCAGGCGGUUUCUUAAGUCUGAUGUGAAAGCCCCCGGCUCAACCGGGGAGGGUCAUUGGAAACUGGGAGACUUGAGUGCAGAAGAGGAGAGUGGAAUUCCAUGUGUAGCGGUGAAAUGCGUAGAUAUAUGGAGGAACACCAGUGGCGAAGGCGGCUCUCUGGUCUGUAACUGACGCUGAGGCUCGAAAGCGUGGGGAGCAAACAGGAUUAGAUACCCUGGUAGUCCACGCCGUAAACGAUGAGUGCUAAGUGUUGGAGGGUUUCCGCCCUUCAGUGCUGCAGCUAACGCAUUAAGCACUCCGCCUGGGGAGUACGACCGCAAGGUUGAAACUCAAAGGAAUUGACG